rnacentral:rRNA from 1 species
AUAUACUUUCUUUAUUUUAUAUAAAUAAAUUAAUUUUUUAGUUAAAAAGCUAAGAUUUUUUUAUAGGACGAGAAGACCCUAUAGAACUUUAUUUUCUACAUAUAUAUAUUUUAUAGAUUUUUAAAAUAUUAUAUAUUAAUAGUUAAUUUAAUUGGGGUGAUUGAAAAAAUUAUAUAACUUUUUCUAUUUCUAUCAUUUAUUUAUGAUGUUUUUGAUCCUUUAAUAUGGAAAAUAAGAUUAAGUUACCUUAGGGAUAACAGCGUU